GAGCAAAUGAUGUUACAAGUUUAUACCCGAAGAAGUUGAUCCAUGUGGGAAAAAGAGCUUUUUAACUCUGAUGCUCC
rnacentral:snoRNA from 1 species